AUUUAGCUGGUUUCUAGUGGCGGACGGGUGAGUAACGCGUGGGUAACCUGCCUUAUACAGGGGGAUAACAACCAGAAAUGGUUGCUAAUACCGCAUAAGCGCACAGGACCGCAUGGUCCGGUGUGAAAAACUCCGGUGGUAUAAGAUGGACCCGCGUUGGAUUAGCUAGUUGGCGGGGUAACGGCCCACCAAAGCGACGAUCGGUAGCCGGACUGAGAGGUUGAACGGCCACAUUGGGACUGAGACACGGCCCAGACUCCUACGGGAGGCAGCAUG
rnacentral:rRNA from 1 species